rnacentral:rRNA from 1 species
UUCAAGGUCGUGCACGCCCCGAGCAUUCUCUCAUUCACAUCCAUCACACCUUUGUGCAUCACCGCGUGGGCUCCCUUCGAAAGAGGGGAUGCUUGCGUUUUCACACGUACACACAAUUACAUAGAAUGUUCACACUUGCGAUCACACGCAAAUCAAUACAACUUUCAACAACGGAUCUCUUGGCUCUCGCAUCGAUGAAGAACGCAGCGAAAUGCGAUACGUAAUGUGAAUUGCAGAAUUCAGUGAAUCAUCGAAUCUUUGAACGCACCUUGCGCCCCUUGGCAUUCCGAGGGGCACACCCGUUUGAGUGUCGUGAAAUCUUCAACCUUCUCUGCUUCUUUUUGAUCAGGGAAGGUUGGACUUUGGAGGCUCUGCUGGAUCUUAUGAAGUCAGCUCCUCUUAAUGAAUUAGCGGGGUUUCUUUUGUCAAUCCUUGACGUGAUAAAGUUUUCUACGUCUAGGCUUGACUUUAAGACCCGCUUCUAAUGUCUCUUGAGACGCUUG